rnacentral:rRNA from 1 species
GUCCUAGCCGUAAACGGUGAUCACUAGGUGUUGGGAGCAUCGACCCUUCCAGUGCCGCAGCUAACGCAUUAAGUGAUCCGCCUGGGGAGUACGGCCGCAAGGUUGAAACUCAAAGGAAUUGACGGGGGCCCCGCACAAGCGGUGGAGCAUGUGGUUCAAUUCGACGCAACGCGAAGAACCUUACCCAGACUUGACAUGUACUGGACUGGUGUGGAAACACAUCUUCCCUUCGGGGCCAGUGCACAGGUGCUGCAUGGCUGUCGU